rnacentral:tRNA from 1 species
CCUGGUGGCUCAGAGGGUAAAGCAUCUGCCUCCAAUGCGGGAGACCUGGGUUCGAUCCCAGGGUCAGGA